AAGUGGAGCAAUCCAUGAGUAAAGUGGCGACCGGGUGAGUAACACGUGACUAACCUACCUUCGAGUGGGGGAUAACAUCGGGAAACCGAUGCUAAUACCGCAUAACAUCGCAAGAUCAAAGCAGCAAUGCGCUGGAAGAGGGGGUCGCGGCUGAUUAGCUAGUUGGUGGGGUAAAGGCCCACCAAGGCUUCGAUCAGUAGCUGGUCUGAGAGGAUGAUCAGCCACACUGGGACUGAGACACGGCCCAGACUCCUACGGGAGGCAGCAGUAGGGAAUCUUGCGCAAUGGGCGAAAGCCUGACGCAGCCAUGCCGCGUGAAUGAUGAAGGUCUUAGGA
rnacentral:rRNA from 1 species